UUGGCCGGGCGACGGUUGUCCCGGUUUAAGCGUGUAGGUGUGUGUUCCAGGUAAAUCCGGUUCACUUUAACACUGAGGCGUGACGACGAGGCACUACGGUGCUGAAGCAACAAAUGCCCUGCUUCCAGGAAAAGCCUCUAAGCAUCAGGUAACAUCAAAUCGUACCCCAAACCGACACAGGUGGUCAGGUAGAGAAUACCAAGGCGCUUGAGAGAACUCGGGUGAAGGAACUAGGCAAAAUGGUGCCGUAACUUCGGGAGAAGGCACGCUGACACGUAGGUGAAGUGAUUUACUCAUGGAGCUGAAGUCAGUCGAAGAUACCAGCUGGCUGCAACUGUUUAUUAAAAACACAGCACUGUGCAAACACGAAAGUGGACGUAUACGGUGUGACGCCUGCCCGGUGCCGGAAGGUUAAUUGAUGGGGUCAGCGCAAGCGAAGCUCCUGAACGAAGCCCCGGUAAACGGCGGCCGUAACUAUAACGGUCCUAAGGUAGCGAAAUUCCUUGUCGGGUAAGUUCCGACCUGCACGAAUGGCGUAAUGAUGGCCAGGCUGUCUCCACCCGAGACUCAGUGAAAUUGAACUCGCUGUGAAGAUGCAGUGUACCCGCGGCAAGACGGAAAGACCCCGUGAACCUUUACUAUAGCUUGACACUGAACAUUGAGCCUUGAUGUGUAGGAUAGGUGGGAGGCUUUGAAGUGUGGACGCCAGUCUGCAUGGAGCCGACCUUGAAAUACCACCCUUUAAUGUUUGAUGUUCUAACGUGGACCCGUUACCCGGGUUGCGGACAGUGUCUGGUGGGUAGUUUGACUGGGGCGGUCUCCUCCUAAAGAGUAACGGAGGAGCACGAAGGUUGGCUAAUCCUGGUCGGACAUCAGGAGGUUAGUGCAAUGGCAUAAGCCAGCUUGACUGCGAGCGUGACGGCGCGAGCAGGUGCGAAAGCAGGUCAUAGUGAUCCGGUGGUUCUGAAUGGAAGGGCCAUCGCUCAACGGAUAAAAGGUACUCCGGGGAUAACAGGCUGAUACCGCCCAAGAGUUCAUAUCGACGGCGGUGUUUGGCACCUCGAUGUCGGCUCAUCACAUCCUGGGGCUGAAGUAGGUCCCAAGGGUAUGGCUGUUCGCCAUUUAAAGUGGUACGCGAGCUGGGUUUAGAACGUCGUGAGACAGUUCGGUCCCUAUCUGCCGUGGGCGCUGGAGAACUGAGGGGGGCUGCUCCUAGUACGAGAGGACCGGAGUGGACGCAUCACUGGUGUUCGGGUUGUCAUGCCAAUGGCACUGCCCGGUAGCUAAAUGCGGAAGAGAUAAGUGCUGAAAGCAUCUAAGCACGAAACUUGCCCCGA
rnacentral:rRNA from 1 species